rfam:Rhodobacter sp. SW2 ctg00019, whole genome shotgun sequence.
UCCGCAGCGCGUGCCGCAGCACCACGUCGCGGAAGCGCACGCCUUUCAGCCGGGCGGUGCGGAUGUAUUGCGCCGUCAUCACCUCGGUCAUCGAGGCGCGGGUCAUCCGGGCGAUGUAGCCGACGCCGUAAAGGGCGAUGGUCAUCACCGGCAGGAAGAAAUUCUGGAAGGUGAUGU